UAAGACAGAGGGUGCGAACGUUGUUCGGAAUUACUGGGCGUAAAGCGCAUGUAGGCGGCCGCGCAGGUCGGGUGUGAAAGCCCUGGGCUCAACCCAGGAAGUGCACUCGAAACCGCGCGGCUCGAGUCCCGGAGAGGAAGGUGGAAUUCUCGGUGUAGAGGUGAAAUUCGUAGAUAUCGGGAGGAACACCGGCGGCGAAAGCGGCCUUCUGGACGAGGACUGACGCUGAGAUGCGAAAGCGUGGGGAGCAAACAGGAUUAGAUACCCUGGUAGUCCACGCCGUAAACGAUGGGUGCUAGGUGUCACGGGUUUUGACCCCUGUGGUGCCGUAGCUAACGCAUUAAGCACCCCGCCUGGGGAGUACGGCCGCAAGGCUA
rnacentral:rRNA from 1 species